CGGACACCCCUCCCUCGGAGGGAAGCGAGUGGCGAACGGCUGAGUAACACGUGGAGAACCCGCCCCCUCCCUCCGGGAUAGCCUCGGGAAACCGUGGGUAAUACCGGAUGACCCCGCAGGGCCGCAUGGCCCCGCGGGCAAAGCCCAGACGGGAGGGGAUGGCUCCGCGGCCCAUCAGGUAGACGGCGGGGUGACGGCCCACCGUGCCGACGACGGGUAGCCGGGUUGAGAGACCGACCGGCCAGAUUGGGACUGAGACACGGCCCAG
rnacentral:rRNA from 1 species